ensembl:lncRNA
GUUGUCUGGAGCACAGCAGAACUAUGGGAAGCAUCUUGGGUUAAGAAAGAUACAUGCUGUAACUGAAGCAAUAUUCUGUUGAAGAGACUGCUCUCUGUGCAAAAGUGCCCACAUGGCAAGAAGAUAAUCCAGCUGCUGAUGGCAAGAGCAGACACUAUAUCGGAACACUCUCAAGAUGUUCUCACAGCAGGUGGACCAUAUAUUGUGUUACUUGCUUUGAGAAAUUGCAGAAAGGCAACUGGUGAAAUACAAGGUGUCAUCCAACAGUUGUUUCACAUACAGUAAAGAAGAUCAGUAAUGCAGGUUUCUAUGAUUUAUCAAUAAAGAUCCAAAUCAC